CUUGAUUGAAGAAUUUCUUGGGAAAAAAAUGUAUCACCACAGGAAUGUAAAGUAUCUGUUAUCCUGGAGUUCGCAUAUACCAUUGGCAGAUCGUUAGGUCUAAAUCAGAUCUAUUAUUCAAAAAAUUGAAAGGAACAAUUACAUGUGAACAUUAUAAUUAAAAGAUUAAACAUACUUGGGACGCCCAAUCACCACCGGUUUGGAACGCUGGUGCAGCAGUAGCAGCAGGAAUUGCUGCUGGUGCUGGUGCUGCUACUUCAUCUGCCCAAUUUUCAGCAGGUACAGCAUCAGCGUCAACUUCAUUAGCCCAACCAGGUUCUGCUGUAGUUGUUGCUUCAACAGGAGCCACGAAUUCCUUAGCCGGUGCAAUUUCUUUUGCUGCUUGUUCUUCU